CAUCUGGUGUUAAGCACAGAAAAAUUUGAGUUUUCAGGAGGAUUACCGAUG
rnacentral:tRNA from 1 species